rnacentral:rRNA from 1 species
GAUGAACGCUGGCGGCGUGCCUAAUACAUGCAAGUCGAGCGAACGGACGAGAAGCUUGCUUCUCUGAUGUUAGCGGCGGACGGGUGAGUAACACGUGGAUAACCUACCUAUAAGACUGGGAUAACUUCGGGAAACCGUAGCUAAUACCGGAUAAUAUUUUGAACCGCAUGGUUCAAAAGUGAAAGACGGUCUUGCUGUCACUUAUAGAUGGAUCCGCGCUGCAUUAGCUAGUUGGUAAGGUAACGGCUUACCAAGGCAACGAUGCAUAGCCGACCUGAGAGGGUGAUCGGCCACACUGGAACUGAGACACGGUCCAGACUCCUACGGGAGGUAGCAGUAGGGAAUCUUCCGCAAUGGGCGAAAGCCUGACGGAGCAACGCCGCGUGAGUGAUGAAGGUCUUCGGAUCGUAAAACUCUGUUAUUAGGGAAGAACAUAUGUGUAAGUAACUGUGCACAUCUUGAUGGUACCUAAUCAGAAAGCCACGGCUAACUACGUG